UUAUCAUACUUCUACCCGACUGGCCAAUGGCGCAGCGCUCCCCGCUCACAUGACGCCUUUCUGUGCGCUCUCCAGUCCUUUCAGGCGCUCAAUCCCGGCGAGUGCAGGCAUCACUGAAGACCUGACAUCGGAGGAAAUCGGACGUCCGCUCUUCUCUCCCUGCAACUGACUGACCAGGUGUUCAUCUUAAACAAACUUUACCUCCUUACGACGAGGCUGACCAAGCACUCCGGCCGGCGGAGGAUGGGCGCCGCUUUUGCCGCUGGAAGAGACUUUUUGUGUCCAAACGGGGGAAAGGCAGACAGCGAGACAAUAACACCCCGAAGUUAUUGUAAUAAAUUGCCAUGAAAUGAGCAGACACAAGAGGAAGAAGCUGAAGAGAAUUGACGGUGCUGGCCUUCACCCAAGAGGCGAGAGGAGGAAGCAGAAGACCCCUUAACUCAAGCGGUGAUCUACGGGGAGACAUUGACGAGGUCCAGACAUGAAGGAGGCACGCAAGGAUACACACAAACCCAGUGCAAUGGCACCUAGAGGCUGUCUGCGGUCUACCACCACCCUUCUGCACACACACACGCACACACACACACACCCACGUACACGCACUUGCACACAAAGACUGUUACAGUAAGGAACAACAGACCACAGAGUCACGAUGAUAAUCGCAGUUGGAAUUCACGAAAACACAUUCAUUAUCUUUUGCUGCUUUCGUCUUUUACUUCAAAGCCAAAUUCCAACACUGAAAUGUAAAACUUAUUACAAAAAAUGUAUAGAAAAUUAUUGUGAAAACAGACUAGAACAGCAUCGACUUAAAACCAAUUUUCUCCUUUAAAGUCUAGAUGUUUUAAGCUAUUAUAAAUACGUCUUAUACAAUGUCUUACUGUUUUUAAGUGUACUUGCGUCAGGGAAAUCUAAAUCUGUUUUUAGCUCCCUUUUUUUUUUUUCCCCGUCCAUUGAACCUAUCCAUACAAGUUUAACCUCCCCACCGCACAUCCCACAACACCUCCGUAACCAACCCGCAUAACCCACCCAGCGCCCCUCCCAGGCUUCCCAGCAUCCUGCCGAGCACACCCUCCAAAAUAAAUCCUUCAAGACGAAAUUACAGUGCGGCGGCUCUCUGGGAAACCCCUCCCUCUUUUGUAUCUCUGCUCCCCCCCCACCCCCGACGUCCCUUCCCUAGUCUCCUUGUUAGGCUUCACUUGAUCCACAGUGCAGAUAAUUUUAUUGUAAAUUAAUCUGUACUAUAGCGACCCACACUAAUUUCAAUCUGUAGUUACAGUUAACUUUAGAAGGUAUGAAUGUAGCCCUCUAUAGAAUCUACAUUUUUUGUGUCUGAUUUUAUGUGAAUGGAAAGAGAGGUUGAUGAUUAGUUUUAAUUUCUAAAAAGGGUUAAUUUUUUUUUCUUACAUUUUUGAUGAACUACUAAUUAGCAUACUAAUUAAGUUUCUUUGAUUGUCCUCUUUAAAUGUAUCUUGCUGUUAUCACUUUGAGCCACUCGGAACACACUGAAGAGGCUACAACUGCUCAGGCUUUUUGUGGGACAAAAAAGAAUGUGCAUAUUUUAGUACUGCAUUAGGAUUUUUAAAUGUUAUCCAGUGGCUGCAGUUAUCAAGAAAUAAAUGUGGCUGUCAAGAGUUAAGCUCGCCAAAGCUGUCAAAUUUGAGCUAAUUAUACAGAUUUGGAACUUAAACUGAAUUAAAAAAACAAAACAAAAAAACAAAAAAAAAACUAGUCAAAUGUGAGCUAUUCAGUUUGAGAAAGCAGCCCUGGUCAUUUCCAGCGUUUUUGGGUUAACUGACGAAGCCAACCUCACAGCAGCCGUGUCACAGUUAAGCUUUAAUGAUACACUCCAUCAGUUCAGCUUUUUUUCCUGCGCGAGGCCAGCUUGGUUAACAGUCGGUCGAGGGUGUGUGUGUGUGUCUGUGUGUGUCUGUGUGUCGGCGUGUGUGUUUGUGUGUGCGCCAACUAUUAAAGCACUUGAGAAUCAGAGAGGAAAGAACUCACGCUGCUAAUGGAUGUGUCUAUUGAUGUUCCCAUUUGGCGGCACACUGUAAACGAUAGGGCAAUGAUUGUGCUGAAGAUGGAAGGUGGUGGUGGUGGAGGAGUGGAGAGGAGAGCGGUUUGGCUUGGCGAUGAUAAUGACAAGGAAGGUUAUUAUUCAGCGCCCCAUGGAGUCUCUCUCUUUUUUGCCUUUGUGUGUGUGUAUGUAUUUGAGAGAGAGAGAGAGAGAGAGAGAGAGAGGAAGAGGAGUGGUACUCAUCCUCCAUGUCUCUCAAUGAUGUUGCCUUCCCAGUCCAUUGGCUAUUAUUAACUUCUCGCUUUUUCUCUCCCACCCUACACCUCUCCCGACAUUACUUACUGUUGCUGCUCUUCAUCCAAUCAUGGCUGUCUCUUUACCAUAAACACCUCGUUUUCCUUUUCUAAACAGUCCAUAUUUUUUAAUCUACAGUGCAUAUCAUUCAUAAUGAGUAAAAUAGUCUAAAACGCAGAAGUAAAAGAUGAUACCGUGAGCAAAGAAGACAGCUGCGUUCUCAACACAGCCAGGGCUAGCAUGCAGUUAGGUCAUGGUAAGCUUGUUCAUUGUAAAACCAAACCAUAUAGCAUCAUACGACUGCUUUAAGUUGAGUAAAGUAACAGCUUCCCCCACUGAAAUAAACGUAUUUGUCAUUAUGGAUGUAACUGUAAUAUUUUAUAUUCCAUUUUGAUAUUCAUAAAUAUACACAUUAAGUACACCUAUUUAAAAAGAGAAAAAAAAAUGGACUAAAAAGCUGACUCGGUAGCCAGGCUAUGGUUGUUUGCUUCUCAGUCAUGUUGCUUGUAGCUUGACAGCUACAGUGUUAAAAUAGUGCUUACCUUUAUAAGAUGGCGAGCUGGUGCUGCGAAAUAUUUUCAGCCAAAUCCGUCUCUCUUGUAAAAUACAGUAGCUUUCUUUCAGCCAGCUGACAAACAGUAGACAAAGAGUGAGGGGCGGCGGGUAUUACACUAUCCUUAAAAAAAUACAUUAAAACUGUAAACUUGUUUUUUAACCUUUGUACCUCGUAUAAACAAAGCUUGCCUAGUCUAACCACUGAAUCACGCGCCAGUAGAUUUUUUGUUUUGUUUUGUUUUUUACCCAACUGUGCGCGUGUAAGAGCGCGCGUGUGCGCGUGUGUGUGUGUGUGUGUGUGUGUCCUGUCAGUUCCAAUCAGUGUGCUCGUGUGAUGAAUAUGAAUAGUCAGCCUCCCUGCAGGUUUGGCAGGAGACCACCUCCAGCUGGACUCAGACCCCUGCUCAAGUGUCUUGGUGUGUGUUUUGUGAGUGCGCUUGUACAAGUCAGUUUGUAUCUGUCAGAGCGGUGACAACCUCAGGGGGAAAUGACAAACUAUGCAUGCAAGUCACAGAAAAUUGAAUGCUUCAAGCUCAUUUUAAAAUGUUCAGUUUUUUUUAGAUUUUUGUCAUAAAGUGCAUAGAUAAAUUCUGAGAUUGGUUAGAAUUGUUACAUUUUUGCAAGUUUCACGUCCAUCUUUCACUCAGUUGUCCCAUGUUUCUUAUUUUUUUUAGGCACUUUAAUCAGUUCACUUCUUCCAUAUGAGUUUUUAGUCCUUCUUUAUUUAUAAGAGAUUUAAAUAAUUUCCAAAAAUAUCCUGUCCUUGCAGUAAGAAUCCAUCUAUCAUUCUGUGUGCGUGUGUGUCUAUAAUUGCAGUGCAGCAGAUAAAGAAGGAGACGCCAUUCCAGCUGUGAGGAGACAGAAGGCGUCGUGUACACACGGUCACAAUAAACACUGCACACACUGACACACUUGCACGUACACACACACACACACACACACACACAUAUGGUAGGUGGGGGUUGAGCGCAAGCAGGUGAGCAUUAAGUCAGGGUGCUAAACAGAUCACGUCGCGGUGUGAUAUCUGCAGACAGGCAGACAGACAGAGGAGGCCGGUCUGUACCUGCAGGCUGAGCGCGGCGACUCGCAGCACCCUCGCCAGGAAUUUCCUCCAACUCCUGGGAGGAGGGCGGGUUGACGGUGAAAGACGGGUGCAAACUGCAGGUUCCGCUGUUUUUCUUCAAAGCUGCGUCUUGUUAACCUUAUUAAAUCUGAAAUUGCUGUAGUUAACAUUUUUGAACAGUUUCCAUUCAUCUCGAUGUGUAGGUUUUGUAGAAAAAUUACAUUUUUUAAAGAUUGAAAACAGCCUACAGUAUGUCUUAAGGCUAAUUGCACUUUUAAAAAUAGCUUUACAUAUUCACAUUAAUUAAGUUAUUUGUGAAAAUAUUUGUUUUUCACCUUCAGUUUUUCUAUUUUUCACCAUAGAAACCUCGCCUGUUUCAUGUUAUUUUUAAAUUUUAUGCAUAUUUUCCCUCCAGGCAAAAAGCUCACACUUGCAAGCCUAAAAUUAGCUUCCGUGAUGAAACGAAGCGGAGAAAUCAGAUUGACAGCGGUGGAGAAAAAAUAGGUGCAAAAUCUCUGCAGACGCUCCAUGUUUGGGUAGAACACAUAUCUGUCCCUACGUUCUGUAAAACUCAAAUAUUGAAAGGACAAAAAAUAAAUAAAACUGUGUGUACACAAGCUUGUCAAGUGGAGCAGAAUUCUCAGUGUUUAAUCACCUCCUGUAUGAUUUGUCUGUCUGGAAUUACUAGUCUGUUCUGACAGAGUCCACGGUCCUAAUUGUGAAACGCUGACAGUGCUCAUUACACAAACCUGGCUUACGAAUAUCCUGGAGCAUUGUCGGGGCUCUCUUUUGUUAUUUUCUUUCCCCCUUUUUGUCCUUGCACCCAGUCUGCCGAGGAAACACGGCCAUUAUCACUUACUUCGCUACUUGACGUUAAGAAAAAUCCCCUGUAGUUUUGUUCUGUUUUCUGCUCGUCGCCGCUCAGAUGCGCUGAAUCGACUGUGUGGAGUAUUGUUGACAAAGAAAUUUGCAAUUUGAGGUUUGAUAGAAAAGGGGGAUUUCAGUUCAUGUCUUACACAAAUUUGUUCUGUUCACUGGCUCUUUGGUCACAGCCUCAUCUGGUCACCUCGUUUUAAAAUGAUGCUGUUUAAUUAAGUCAUUCCCAUUAUUGCCCAAACUCUCUGUACUGCCUUAUUCUUCAGGGGUAAAAUUCAUAACUUUUGAAGUGAGGUUCUAUUAAGUGGCUGCUGGGAAUAACUCACAUGGUGUCUUCAUUCUGUAUAAUUUCAGAUGGCUUGGCCCCGGCUGCUUAAACUAACUGCUAUCCAAGAAGGUUCUAAGACUAAAGUUGACGUCUAGGUCCGUAUAGAAACUCUGAAAUCUCAUAGUGUUUAGUGUAAACCCUAUUUUAUAUACCUUUCAGCUCUUUGGACUUUGUGGCUAUUUUUACAGCAGCUGACAAUGAUUUCCACAGGAAAUGAAAGUGCAACACCAAUGAACUUUCUGUGUGAAACACUUAUUGAGAAUGGAAGCAUGUCCAUUCAGUGUAACUCUCUGAUAUAAAGGGAAGGUGUGUAAAACACACAAAUAUUAAAGCAGUUUAUGAUUGAAGGACCUUGUUUUAUAUUUAUUUUUAUUGAUCUUACCACUGGUUCACUUCUCUGUUAGGUAUGUAUGGAAACACUUACAUCCUCCAUUACAAAGAGGAAGCCUGUAUUAACCGUUACAAAUACGCAUUAGCCUCACUGUCCAAUAUAUAUGUAAUUAUAGUGUAGAGGUUCAUAAAAUUGUAAAUGAAUAGUCAAUAUAGACGUAAAGGGCAUAAUAUACUUCUGAUAUAUUUACCUGCUUUUAAGCAUUUACAGAACUUUGCUUCAGCGGUCCUAAACUUUUUCGGUAGGAUCGUUUUUAUUGUCUGUUUCAAAGCUCCCUAUAUUUAGCCAAAGUCUCAGCUCCCCCCAGCCCGUCCACUUAUCUAAAAAUGAUUCAGCGGUUAAAUGUCAGAGCUGUCCGUACCAUUAAGGCCAGCGUGUUUGAAGGAAGGACACCCUCCCCUCCUUCUUCCUCUGUCUCUUUAUAUCCCCUUCCUCCCCCCCGUUAGCUCCCACAUCAUCCAGCACCCCCUCACCAUCGCUCCAACCCAGGCUGGUUCGAAGGCUGAUGUGCAGGCCUUGUCAUUCAGAUUAAGGCCACAUUGUCAGCUCAGGGCUCUUCUCUCUUUAGUUUCGUGUCCCGUUUCUUUCUUCCCACUGUCAGCCACCCCGUCCCGCGGCCAGAAAAGACCUUAUAAAGCUACACUCUCUCUCAUCCACUUCUGUCAAUUCAAACACUGUCACUCACACCACCAUUGGGGGGUUUGUCGCAGCAAGGACUAUUUGUUUAUAUAUAAUGUUGGACAUGUUUUUAUAUAUAGAUAUAUAUUUCAUCAGCUAACAAACAGAGUUGUAGACUUGAUUUUUUUUUUUUUUUUUUUUUUUGGGGGGGGGUUUACUUUGAAGUGAAGAGAUCUUCAUCGGAUACAAAUAAAAUGACAGCAGUGGCAUGAGAUGUGAGGGUAAAAAGAGGCGGCAUACUCCUCUCCACAAGUCUUAGUACUCUUUGUAGUAAAGACAGCAAAAGCUGUUAUUUUAAAAUCAAAGUUGUACGAGUGCAGGGGUAUUUAGAGAGGGAUUGGCAGGUGGUGACACAUUCAGCCAGAAUGCCUUAGUCACUCCUUAUCCUGCCCUGUUAAAGCAUCCCACAAUGAUGUUUAUCACCCAAACGAAUCUUGACUCACCAGCGUAGUUGCCGUCACGUCCUGUCUAAUUACUACAGCAGCUCUGCGGCAUUUGAGUUUCAAAUGCUUCUUACUGUCUGCGCGUUUGUCUUUCCUUCCCAAGAUGAGCAAUGAUUCAGCACUGCCUAAGAUGGUGGACAGUUUCUCUCUUGGUAUUAGUGCAAAGAGAGAGGAAACAAAUAUAAAGCACAUUUGAGUCUUUCAGUCCUCAGACUCAGGGGACCACAUCAUAACGAAACAUCAAGCGUUACUGAUCGGGGUGAGUCGGCAGUUUCAUACCCGUUCUCUCCCUCAUCCUCAAACUUGCGCUGAAGCCUUUGAGGCAUGUCGAUGCUCCUCUAGAGGCCGAGCAGCUGUGCUUCAAAACAGCAAAGAAAGAGAAAAAAAAAAGACAGCCAACUGCAGCUCCUGCCCAGGUGCUGUGUUAACUAAGAACUACUAUGAGUCAGGAGUUUCAAGAUGACUUUCUUUGUGUAUCUGCUACUUUCAGCAAAAUAAGACGUGUUCCCAUGCACUCACCGUCUGUGUAAUUUUGACUGUAUUUCAUGGAAGUUAAAUUACGCUCGCAUCACUGCUCGGUUUCUAAGAUUUAAAGAAAAGGUGAGUCAAAAUUGUUUCUUUUCUUUCAUGGGCUGCGGUGGAAGAAACUACUGGGGGAGGAAAAGUCUUUGCAAAGACACACACUUGUUUUUGUGUCACAUUUGGAAUUUUUUUUUAUUAUUAUUAUUUAAAGAAAUGUUUUGGAUAUUUAAAUCAAAAUGACCAAAAUGUUAUUGUCAUGUAACUGGGAACAUGACAAUAACAUAACUAAUACAGAGUUAUGUUAUUGAUACCCUUGGCAGAUUUAGGGUUGAAGUAAUUUUAUCAACAUGUUUCUUUUGUCCGUUAUUAUUUUUGAAGACAGAGUUCCAACUUGAAACUGAUGGGAAUCUGUUGAAGGAAUUAAAGAUUAGGGUGAUGGCAAGAAGGCCUUCAUGUCAAAGACUUGGAGCUCAUCUUGGACAAUAAAUCAUCAAGAUGAUGAUUUAUUAUUCAUAAAUCACCAGAAGCUCUUAUCAGAAAUCAUAAAAGGGUGUGAUUGCUUUAAUCUGAUAAAGAUCUAAAAUUGAUUAUUGGGAAGAAUUUUUAACAUGCUAUUUAUUGUAUUAAAAUGAUUUUAAAAAAAAACUUUAUAUACGAAAUUAAGACUUCUUUUGUAUUUUCUUAUCUAUCACGAGCAGACUUUUCCAUUUUGUCUUGGUCGAAUGAAGCAAGUUUUACGCCUAAAUCUGCCAGAGGGAUGAAUAAUGUUGAGCUUUACUGUAACCAGUUCAAGCAUUGGUUAGCACAUAAUCAGUAAAUGUCCAACGAUGUUGCUGUCUUUGGUAAAGCUCCCAUGACCUUUUCUGUUUACUUCUGAAGAAUGAAAGAAAGAUUUAUGAAUAUGCAAGUCAGACAUUUCUCCACCCACAGAGCAUCCACGCUUCGCCCUCAUUUCUACACAGACUGUCAUCUCUGGUCGCCGUCCGGUUCACGCUUGCCACAGUGAACAUUCAACGCUGUCGGUGAGUUUGAGCGUAAUUUAACAAAAACCAUCGACCGUUGACUGUACCCUGCGGACAGCUUUUGUCACUAGAUGUAUUUUAAAAAGAUGAAGAUAAAGCCCCACCACACGAACCAGAGGAAGAACGGCUGACGACUCCUUGGGAAGGAAAACAAUCCGGACAUACUUCCAGCUUUCUAAAUCACAGCAAAGGUCACAAUCAACAUUCAUUGCUGUCGGUGGGUUUGACUUUGUGGAAGAGCUCACUGAACGAUGAAUGCAACUGUGUCCCAGAUUUCAUCCGACCGUCACAAGGAAUGUUGUCACGACGCGCUGAUGAUGGCAUUAUUUAUUUCGCCUGUCUCCCUCCCUCAGCUACCGCGAUGCUGGCAGUGUGAACUGCCUUCUUGACAGUUUGGCUUUAAGAGUCACAGAAGAAAAGACAGUGAAACUACACUUAGGACAUGAAAUGCUAGACAUGAUUUUGUUGUGAACUUUGAACUAAAUGGACAUUUCUUUUCUUUUUUUCUUUUUUUUUUGUGCACAUUGUAAUUGGAGUAGUUAGUAUGUAAAGGUAUAAAACGGCAUAAAUCAGGUGGUCUUUAUUUCUGUGAUGUUUCCAGGAAUUAAGUUACUACAAUACAUAAGAAUUUAAAUUCACUGCGUGUUUCUAAUUCUUAACACGGGGCAUGCACUGUCUUUGAUGAAUUUCAAUAAAUCAUCACACUCUAAGUUCUCA